UUGCGUCGUCGAUCAGGCAGCCAGUACUAGUCCAUAAAAUACCCCUCGCCCGCCCCGUCCGGAACAAGUCCAAGGCCAUCCACGGCACAACCGCCAACGGUGGUGGGCAGUUUCGCUUGGCUCCUCCUGUCUUGUAGUAGUUCGCGUGCACAAGAGGUCGCCAUGUACCCGAAGCCGGAGGAUGGUCCGGCGACGGGCUUCCCGAUGAGCGGCGGCACGGGCGUAGGCGUUGGCGGCGGCGGUGGCCCGGGCGCGUACUACCAGGCGGCGCCGGCGACAGCGGCGUUCGCGAUGCAGGCGCAGGCGCCGCUGGCGGCGUGGUCGACGGGGCUGUGCGACUGCUUCGACGACUGCGGCAACUGCUGCAUCACGUGCCUGUGCCCGUGCAUCACGUUCGGGCAGGUGGCGGAGAUCAUCGACCGCGGGUCGACGUCGUGCGGGGCGAGCGGCGCGCUCUACGCGCUCAUCAUGCUGCUCACCGGCUGCCAGUGCGUCUACUCCUGCUUCUACCGCUCCAAGAUGCGCGCGCACUACGGCCUGCAGGAGAGCCCCUGCGCCGACUGCUGCAUCCACUGGUGCUGCGAGCCCUGCGCGCUCUGCCAGGAGUACCGCGAGCUCAAGAAGAGGGGCUUCGACAUGAACCUCGGAUGGCACGCCAACAUGGAGAGGCAAGGACGCACUCCGGCGACCAUGCCACCCCUCAUGCACCCAGGGAUGACCCGUUGAUCGAUCUGUGCUUUUGUUCUCCAAGACACGUCUAAAGUGUGCGUCCUUAUGUAGUAGAAGAAGUAAUCUCCAUGCUAUUCGGCGUCUUUGCGGUGCCGGUGUUACCUACUUUGCAGGUUUCUGUACAAUACUGUGUAACACACGACUACUACUUUGUGUAAUGUUACUGCAAACGUAUUUUCCCUUUUUUUUAUCUAGAAUAUGCAUGAGUAUGCGUAUUUUAUAUUAAGAGGAGAAGAGGAUAAGGGCACCUCCAACGACGAUCCGUAAAUUUUCUCCUGCAUCCGUCUGCGGACAGGGGCACCAGUCCACAUAGACGGAUGCGGGAGGACGCCAUCCAACGCUAGCCGCAUACAUCCUGCCAACAGUUCGAAUUAACUAGACGAAAUUCGUUCAAACAGAUUAAAAACUAUAUUUUUAUUUUUGAAGUUUGGAUAAACCAAACACGAUCAGAUUUCAUAUAAACAUAGCGAAUUUCGUUACAUUUAUAUCAAUUAAGCGGUGCUAGUCCGGCUCUGGAGGUAUAAUUAAUACCUAAUCUAAAUGGUCGUCGUCCCUUUGUACGACCAUGAACCCAGAGAACCAAAGCUUCGCUUUUUCCAGCUCCGCCUCGGCGCUCUCCAGCUCUGUCUCCAUAACCUCCGCCUCCGGAGCCCCAGGAAGCGAAGCUGUCCGCCUCCACGUCGCCGCCAAGCGGCUAAUCGUCCGACGAUGUUCAACCCACCAAACUUGGCGUCAACGGGUGGGGAGGAGCGGUGUCCUUCUUGGGACCCGAGCGGCGGUGACCUACCGUACACUACUCUUCCUCGCUGCCGGCGGCGCCCGCGGACAUGACAGCCUCGUGCUCGUGGCGGCGGGGUGCGGCCUCGAUGUUGUCCUUCUCCUCCUCGUCAGUCUCGCCGAACAGCGCCUCGCUCGCCUCACCGCACUCCUUGGACGCGGCGGCUACCUCCGCCACCCGCUAUCGGUACCGCCAGCUGGCGAGGCGGAUCUUGCGGGCGAAGCGGUAGGACUGGAGCAGCGCUUCCUACUCCACCAGGCCUGCAUUCGGCGUGACCGCCCCGCAUGCGCCGAGCUGCUCUUUCGCCUGCGGGGGCUCCUGUAGGAGAUGGUGGUUAUAGGCGGCGUUGGUCUGCGCCUCCUUGAACUGCUCCUCCCGCAUCAUGUUCAUGUAAAGGGCAUGGGGCCUCGCCGAUGGUCAUGGUGCAGUGCACUGGCGAGGGAGGCACGGCGGCGGAGGAGGAGGAGGGUAGCCCCGGUGAGGUAUUAGUUAGGAUCAUUAAAUGUUGCAGCGGGAAUCUUCUAAGUUAAUGUGGCAUUUUGUGUACUGUUUCUGAGACAUAUCUUUUCCUUAGUGUUCUUCUUCAUCAAGAUUAUCUUGGGCUUAUUAUCGAAAUGUUUGUAAUGUGCUUGCCUCAAUGUGUAGAUGUAUGCACUAACCAAGGAACGAGAUAAAUUAAGGAGAGAGCAAAAUAAGAAAAGUGACGCAGCCGCGCUUUUGAAAGAAAAGGACGAGAUUAUCACUCAGGUCAUGGCUAAAGGAAGCGGAAGCGAAAGCUGCUGCCUCAGAAGAAAAGGAGCGGUCUAUAAAUGAGAGACUGUCACAAAAUUUUGUCCCGCAUAACUGUUCUGGAGACUCAGAUUACAAUUCUUAGGACAGAACACAGACAGCUGAGCCGAUCUGUUGAAAAGGAUAGACGAAGAGCAUCUGAAAGUAGACAGUAGUACCUAGCAAUUAAGGAGGAGGCGGCAUUACAAGCAGGACAAGCCAAACGGCUUGAAGAAGAAGAAAAGGAGCUUAGAGCUAGGCACACAAAUGAGCUGCAGGAAGCAGCAGAACACAGGGGGCUGCUUGAGAAGGUAAUCAACUUAUCUUGAAUCAUCUUCUGUAAGUAACUGGGUAUACAUGUUAAUUAAUCUGAUUGCUUUGAGCACUGUACGGAGCAAGCAUUUCUCCUGCCAAAAUCGUUAAUGUGCCCAGUGACACUUUCUUUAAAGUUAAUCAAAUAUACUCAUGUGACACAAAUUUAAACUUUGGGUUUAUCUUAUAAUAGGAUUUUGUAGGGUCAACAGUCAUCUUUUACUUGUUUCUAUCUCCUACAUGAACAAAAUUAGUCAUGUCAAAAGUCGCAUGAAGUUCUCCUUGAAUUGUUUAAUUAACGUCUCUUGAAGUUGUGUCACUU
rnacentral:rRNA from 1 species